rnacentral:rRNA from 1 species
AUGCCGUCGCGCUCGCUCCGCGUCGCCGUCAUCGGCGCCGGGGCCGCCGGCCUGGUGGCGGCGCGCGAGCUGCGACGCGAAGGCCACGCCCCCGUCGUGUUCGAGCGCACCGACGGCGUGGGCGGCACCUGGGUCUACGAGGCCGAUGCCGACGCGUCCGCCUCGCCGGAGCCGCUCGUCACCCAGCGGCGCUCGAACCUCGACGCGUCCCUCCGCACCAACCUCCCGCGCGAGUGCAUGGGCUUCCUCGACUUCCCCUUCGUCGCGGGCCCCGACGGCGACACCCGCAGGUUCCCCGGCCACGCGGAGGUGCUCCGGUACCUCCAGAGCUUCGCGCGGCGGUUCGACCUCGACGGCCUCGUCCGGCUGGAGACGGAGGUGGUCCGGGUGAGCAGGGAGACGAGCGGCACUAGCUGGCGCGUCAGGUACUCGAGGAAGGCGUCCGGCAGCGAGAAGCGCGAAACGGAUGAGGAGGUGUUCGACGCCGUCGUCAUCUGCAACGGCCACUACUCCCAGCCGCACUUCGCCGACGUUGCCGGCGUGGAUGCUUGGCCUGGGAAGCAGCUGCACAGCACCAGCUACCGUGUGCCCGAGCCAUUCCACGGCCAAGUUGUCGUGGUGAUAGGGUGUGGACCGAGUGGCACGGACAUCUCGAGGGACAUCGCUGGCGUCGCCAAAGAGGUCCAUCUCGCCAGUAGAUGGUCGCUUUCUGCCACCAGCGAGAAGCUGCCCGGACAUGCUAAUAUGUGGCUUCAUUCCGAGAUCGACCGUGCUCAGGAAGACGGGAGUGUGGUUUUCCACGACGGAAGUCGGGUCAAAGCGGAUGUCAUCAUGCAUUGCACCGGAUACAAGUACAACUUCCCAUUCCUCACCAACGAUGCAACCGUCUCCGUGGACGACAAUUGUGUCGAUCCACUGUACAAGCAUGUGUUCCCGCCACAGGUUGCUCCUCGACUCUCCUUCAUCGGGUUGCCUUUAAAGGUGGUCCCUUUUCCACUGUUCGAGCUGCAGAGCCACUGGGUGGCCGGCGUUCUGUCGGGGCGAUUCAAGCUCCCAUCUAAGGAUGAGAUGGUGCGAGACGUGACGGCCUUCCACUCGCGUCUGGCCGCUCGCGGAUGGCCCCGAAGAUACACCCACAGACUGCGAGACCGCGAGUUCGAGAACGAGGACUGGCUCGCGGAGCAAUGCCGGCGGGGCGGGCCCGAGGGGUGGAGGAGGGAGAUGUUCGACGCGGCGAUGCAGGUCAUGGUGGAACGCCCGGAGAACUACCGGGACGAGUGGGACGGCGGUGACUACGACCACCUGCUGGCCCAAGCAAACCGAGAUUUCGCGGCGCAUUGUCAACGCCCCUGA